GCCCGGCUAGCUCAGUCGGUAGAGCACGAGACAUAUAAUCUCGGGGUCGUGGGUUCCGGAAACCCCACGUUGGGCG